GGCACAAUGGGCUCAUGAACAAAGUAGUCCUCUUGUAGGGAGGCAAGCUCAUAAGAGGCAAACAGCAUUGCUUCACUUGCCAAGUAGUCACUCCUUAAUGUUAACCACUGCCUCUGAUCUAGUGCCACCCCUCAAGGAAACCAAGCUACUUGUCAUCAGGUUAUACUGGAUCCUCCAUUCUGGAAUGUGCACUGAUGCACCUUGACAACAAACUGCCCAUUUCCACAUGCAUUUGCUUUUCUUGCCCAUACGAUGCUGGCCAAAAAUACUAUCCAAGGUUUACAGAUGUUUGAUCCAUCAAUAUUCAUCCUGCAGAAUACUGCCCUUGACCUACAGACCUGGUUUAUAGCAAAGGAGGUGUGUCACUGGGCAAAUGACCAUAGGAUCCACAGCUCCUAACAUGUAAUACACAUGACCCAGAAAAUGCUGAUCAGAUGGAAUGGUGUAAAAAAACUUUUGAAGAUGAAACUGAUGCAAAAGCUUGAAGAAAAUUCCCGAAGAGGAAAUGCCACCCCAGGAUUCAGUACGUACACUAGAUCAAUACCCAUCAUAUGGUGCUAUGUCCCAUAUAGAUAGAAUAUGUAUUUGGGGAUGAAAGAGUAAAAAUAGAAUUCCCACUAUGGUAUGGCUGAACAAGGCCCCCAAAUAUGUCUGUAUCCUGAUAACUGGAAUC
rnacentral:lncRNA from 1 species